rnacentral:rRNA from 1 species
CACGUAGGGGGCGAGCGUUGUCCGGAUUUAUUGGGCGUAAAGAGCUCGUAGGCGGCUCAGUAAGUCAGGUGUGAAAACUCCAGGCUCAACCUGGAGACGCCACUUGAUACUGCUGUGGCUAGAGUCCGGUAGGGGAGCAUGGAAUUCCUGGUGUAGCGGUGAAAUGCGUAGAUAUGCGGAGGAACACCGAUGGCGAAGGCAAUCCCCUGGACCUGUACUGACGCUCAUGCACGAAAGCGUGGGGAGCAAACAGG